UACUAGCCGUCGGGGUCCUUAGUGACUUUGGUGGCGCAGCUAACGCGAUAAGUAGACCGCCUGGGGAGUACGGCCGCAAGGUUAAAACUCAAAUGAAUUGACGGGGGCCCGCACAAGCGGUGGAGCAUGUGGUUUAAUUCGAUGCAACGCGAAGAACCUUACCAGGUCUUGACAUCCUCGGAACUUGGCAGAGAUGCCUUGGUGCCUUCGGGAGCCGAGUGACAGGUGCUGCAUGGCCGUCGUCAGCUCGUGUCGUGAGAUGUUGGGUUAAGUCCCGUAACGAGCGCAACCCUUGUCCUUAGUUGCCAGCACGUCAUGGUGGGAACUCUAGGGAGACUGCCGGUGACAAACCGGAGGAAGGUGGGGACGACGUCAGGUCAUCAUGGCCCUUACGACCUGGGCUACACACGUGCUACAAUGGCUGGUACAGAGGGUUGCGAAGUCGCGAGGCGAAGCUAAUCCCUUAAAGCCAGUCGUAGUCCGGAUCGGAGUCUGCAACUCGACUCCGUGAAGUCGGAAUCGCUAGUAAUCGCGGAUCAGAAUGCCGCGGUGAAUACGUUCCCGGGCCUUGUACACACCGCCCGUCACACCAUGGGAGUGGAUUGCACCAGAAGUGGCUAGUCUAACUACGGAGGACGGUCACCACGGUGUGGUUCAUGACUGGGGUGAAGUCGUAACAAGGUAGCCGUAAAGGG
rnacentral:rRNA from 1 species